rnacentral:rRNA from 1 species
GACGAACGCUGGCGGCGCGCUUAACACAUGCAAGUCGAACGGAAAGGCCUGCUUUCCCUUGUGGAUUGCGGGUACUCGAGUGGCGAACGGGUGAGUAACACGUGAGUGAUCUGCCCCCAACUUGGGUAUAAGCCUGGGAAACUGGGUCUAAUUCCCGAUAGGACUGCAGGGUGGUGCCUGUGGUGGAAAACGAUUUUCUAGUGGUUGGGGAUGAGCUCGCGGCCUAUCAGCUUGUUGGUGGGGUAAUGGCCUACCAAGGCGGCGACGGGUAGCCGGCCUGAGAGGGUGGACGGCCACAUUGGGACUGAGAUACGGCCCAGACUCCUACGGGAGGUAGCAGUGGGGAAUAUUGCACAAUGGGCGGAAGCCUGAGGCAGCGACGCCGCGUGGGGGAUGACGGCCUUCGGGUUGUAAACUCCUUUCGACCGCGAGGAAGCCACCUGGUUGGAAGGGUGGUGACGGUAGUGGUAGAAGAAGCACCGGCUAACUACGUG